UACAGAGGGUGCGAGCGUUGUUCGGAAUUAUUGGGCGUAAAGGGCGCGUAGGCGGUGCGGUAAGUCACCUGUGAAAUCUCCUGGCUCAACUGGGAGCUUGCAGGCGAAACUGCCGUGCUGGAGUGUGGGAGAGGUGCGUGGAAUUCCCGGUGUAGCGGUGAAAUGCGUAGAUAUCGGAAGGAACAUCAGUGGCGAAAGCGACUUCCUGGACCAAUACUGACGCUCAUGUGCGAAAAGCGUGGGGAGCAACAGG
rnacentral:rRNA from 1 species